rnacentral:rRNA from 1 species
UAGAUGCGAGAGUAGAGCAUAUCAAUAAGCGGAGGAAAAGAAACUAACAAGGAUUCCCUUAGUAACGGCGAGUGAAGCGGGAAGAGCUCAAAUUUGAAAUCUUAAAGGUUUUACCUUGACGAAUUGUAGUUUAAAGAAGUGUUUUCUGUUGAAGUUUUCGGUAAAAGUUCUUUGGAAUAGGACAUCAUAGAGGGUGAGAAUCCCGUAUUUGACCAUUACUUUCCAGCUGUGUGAUACACUUUCAAAGAGUCGGAUUGUUUGGGAAUGCAGUCCAAAAUGGGUGGUAAAUUUCAUCUAAAGCUAAAUAUUGGCGAGAGACCAAUAGCGAACAAGUACCGUGAGGGAAAGAUGAAAAGAACUUUGAAAAGAGAGUUAAACAGUACGUGAAAUUGUCAAAAGGGAAGCGUUUGACACCAGUGUUGUUUAGUUGAAAAUCAAUUCAAUAAUUUUUGAUUUUGAGUAGUAUUGACUUCAUCAGCUUGCUGCUUUCUUUUCCGAAAUUAUUGAAUGCACUUUUCAGUUAACAAGUCAACAUCAAUUUCUUUUGUUGUAAAAGGGUAAGAGGAAGGUGGCUUACGCUUCGGCGUAAGUGUUUAUAGCCUUUUACCUCUGCAAUCGGAGAGAUUGAGGACAGCAGCGUAGACUCCUUCGGGGGUUAGAUACACUUGUGCUAAGCUAUAGCCUUGUAUAGACAACUUGUUGACUAUGCUCAGUCAUGUAGCUUACUCGCUUGUGCUAUUUUACCUACGCUUAGGAUGUUGACGCGCGUGUGUGCGUG